rnacentral:tRNA from 1 species
GGCUCCAUGGCGCAAUCGGUAGCGCUUCUGUUCGUAACAGAGAGGUUCCAGGUUUGAAUCCUGGCGGAGCCA